rnacentral:rRNA from 1 species
CUGUAAGCCGUUGAAGGUGUGCUGUGAGGCAUGCUGGAGGUAUCAGAAGUGCGAAUGCUGACAUAAGUAACGAUAAAGCGGGUGAAAAGCCCGCUCGCCGGAAGACCAAGGGUUCCUGUCCAACGUUAAUCGGGGCAGGGUGAGUCGACCCCUAAGGCGAGGCCGAAAGGCGUAGUCGAUGGGAAACAGGUUAAUAUUCCUGUACUUGGUGUUACUGCGAAGGGGGGACGGAGAAGGCUAUGUCAGCCGGGCGACGGUUGUCCCGGUUUAAGCAUGUAGGCGGAGGUUCCAGGUAAAUCCGGUACCUUAUUAACGCUGAGGUGUGAUGACGAGGCACUACGGUGCUGAAGUGAUAAAUGCCCUGCUUCCAGGAAAAGCCUCUAAGCAUCAGGUAACACGAAAUCGUACCCCAAACCGACACAGGUGGUCAGGUAGAGAAUACCAAGGCGCUUGAGAGAACUCGGGUGAAGGAACUAGGCAAAAUGGUGCCGUAACUUCGGGAGAAGGCACGCUGAUAUGUAGGUGAAGCCCCUGCGG